UAGAGAGGUGCUUGCACCUCUUGAGAGCGGCGGACGGGUGAGUAAUGCCUAGGAAUCUGCCUGGUAGUGGGGGAUAACGUUCGGAAACGGACGCUAAUACCGCAUACGUCCUACGGGAGAAAGCAGGGGACCUUCGGGCCUUGCGCUAUCAGAUGAGCCUAGGUCGGAUUAGCUAGUUGGUGAGGUAAUGGCUCACCAAGGCGACGAUCCGUAACUGGUCUGAGAGGAUGAUCAGUCACACUGGAACUGAGACACGGUCCAGACUCCUACGGGAGGCAGCAGUGGGGAAUAUUGGACAAUGGGCGAAAGCCUGAUCCAGCCAUGCCGCGUGUGUGAAGAAGGUCUUCGGAUUGUAAAGCACUUUAAGUUGGGAGGAAGGGCCAUUACCUAAUACGUGAUGGUUUUGACGUUACCGACAGAAUAAGCACCGGCUAACUCUGUGCCAGCAGCCGCGGUAAUACAGAGGGUGCAAGCGUUAAUCGGAAUUACUGGGCGUAAAGCGCGCGUAGGUGGUUCGUUAAGUUGGAUGUGAAAUCCCCGGGCUCAACCUGGGAACUGCAUUCAAAACUGUCGAGCUAGAGUAUGGUAGAGGGUGGUGGAAUUUCCUGUGUAGCGGUGAAAUGCGUAGAUAUAGGAAGGAACACCAGUGGCGAAGGCGACCACCUGGACUGAUACUGACACUGAGGUGCGAAAGCGUGGGGAGCAAACAGGAUUAGAUACCCUGGUAGUCCACGCCGUAAACGAUGUCAACUAGCCGUUGGGAGCCUUGAGCUCUUAGUGGCGCAGCUAACGCAUUAAGUUGACCGCCUGGGGAGUACGGCCGCAAGGUUAAAACUCAAAUGAAUUGACUGGGGCCCGCACAACGGUGGAGCAUGUGGUUUAUUCGAAGCAACGCGAAGAACCUUACCAGGCCUGACAUCCAAUGAACUUCCAGAGAUGGAUUGAUGCGUCGGGACAUUGAGACAGUGCUGCAUGGAUGUCGUAGCUCGUGUCAUGAGAUCUUCGCGUCAGUUCUGUAUGAGUUCCACCUGUACCUUAUCUCCAGCCCGUUAAGGUGGGCACUCUAGUGACUGCCUGUGACAACCUGCAGAGUAGGAUGACGUGAGUAUCUGACUUCGCUGGCUGCCAUGCUCCUGCUCGACCAGGAUGCCAGCCCGAGUGAGC
rnacentral:rRNA from 1 species